rnacentral:rRNA from 1 species
UACAGAGGGUGCGAGCGUUAAUCGGAAUUACUGGGCGUAAAGCGUGCGUAGACGGUUAUUUAAGUCGGGUGUGAAAGCCCCGGGCUCAACCUGGGAAUUGCAUUCGAGACUGAAUAGCUAGGGUACGGUAGAGGGAAGUGGAAUUUCCGGUGUAGCGGUGAAAUGCGUAGAUAUCGGAAGGAACAUCAGUGGCGAAAGCGGUUCUCUGGGACGGUACUGACGCUGAGACGCGAAAGCGUGGGGAGCGAACAGG